rnacentral:rRNA from 1 species
UACGGAGGGUGCAAGCGUUGUCCGGAUUUAUUGGGUUUAAAGGGUGCGUAGGCGGUUCUUUAAGUCAGUGGUGAAAUACUGCAGCUCAACUGUAGCAUUGCCAUUGAUACUGAAGAACUUGAGUACAGAUGAGGUAGGCGGAAUUUAUGGUGUAGCGGUGAAAUGCAUAGAUACCAUAAAGAACACCGAUUGCGAAGGCAGCUUACUAAGCUGUAACUGACGCUGAGGCACGAAAGCGUGGGGAGCGAACAGG